UUUUUCACUAAACACAUAAGAAAACUAAACCCUGGCCCCAAAAUUCAAAAUGGUUGAAUCCUAGCCCUAAACCAAUUUGUGCUCUGCUCUCCUCCUCAUACUCUCUUCGGCAGUGGUGCAACAUCUUCACCGUCAUGUCUAACAUUGUAAUCCUUCACAUUUCACCUCCGACGUAAUCCUUCUCGUCUCGAUCGCAACUUCGCCAUCGCAUCUCAACUUUUGUACCAUCAUCUUGUGUUUUCUAAGAUUGGAUUUGUUUUGCUGCUCUUCAAAUAUUGAAAGUAAGAAAACUGUUGUUUUACAUGGAUUAGUUUCACUCAUCUUCAAAUCAUGUGUAGGUUGAAUGAAUCUAAGGAAAAAUUGUGUUGAUUUUUGAGGAAAAAGGAUUAUGUUGAAGAUCCAUUUAUUGAAUCAAUUUGUCAAAAUAAAAAACAAAAUAGCAGUACUAGUCAUAUCUUAUUUUAAUAAUAGUGUUGAAUUUUGAUGUGAUUGAAAUUUUGAAAUUGAAUUAGAACUAAGAAGAUAUGUAAAUUUUGAUUUAAUGGUCUUGGGUAAUUAAGGAAGGAUAUGUAAACUAAUUAAACAAA